rnacentral:rRNA from 2 species
UACGUAGGGGGCGAGCGUUGUCCGGAGUUACUGGGCGUAAAGGGCACGCAGGCGGUGCGGCGCGUUUCGCGUGACAGCGGAGGGCUUACCUCUCCGAGGAUGCGAAAGACGGCGGCACUUGAGGGCCAGAGAGGGACACGGAAUUCCGGGUGGAGUGGUGAAAUGCGUAGAGAUCCGGAGGAACACCGAAGGCGAAGGCAGUGUCCUGGCUGGUGACUGACGCUGAGGUGCGAAAGCUAGGGGAGCGAACGGG